GUUAAAUGCUGAUAUAUGCCUAAGACUCAGGUGGCAAAUGCCUUAAUAUCCUGCCGAGGAAACGAAUCUUUUUCCUAUGUCUAGGUUGGCAUAGGGAUUUUUUAUUAAAUCC
rfam:Lactobacillus brevis subsp. gravesensis ATCC 27305 genomic scaffold SCAFFOLD5, whole genome shotgun sequence.